UUGGAUUAACCCCCCGUACAUGUUCUAGAUUAAUUGCAAUUUAAGUUGUAUUUAUUAAUAGAGUUUAAGAAAUAUAGGGUUAAUAUCUAAGGUUGUUAUUUCUUCAUGUAAUAAACAAUGUUCUUGUAGUGCUUUCAUAGGCACCUAGACAUUUAUUUUGCGUUUGAAAUUAUUGUGUUAUAUAGUAUCAAAAGGGUACUUAUUGCAGUUAACUGGUUAUGGUUACACACUUCCUAUUUUGUUUCUUGAGAAAAUAUUCCGAAGCCUUACGCAUGUGUGUUUUUAGAAAAACUUUAAAUGAUUAUGAUUUUGAUUUUUUAACAACGUAAAGGUCAGAACUGUUUAUAUAAAGAUCAAACGUUGAAGUUGGAUACCACAGAAACGUUUAAACCAGAACAGCUAACUGAAAUAGAAGCGCCGUGAUAAGGAAAAAAGGGGUAGUUCUAACCCAGUCAUGAUCAUGUCAUAGACAAGAGGUUGAUUGAGGAACAAAACCGAUUAUAGACUGGAGCCAGAUUUUGUGGAAAAGCAUAUUGUAGAAGCACAGCUCUGAAAAUACAAACUUAGGAAAUACAUUUUGGGGAAAUACAAAUUGCCGCCAUGACGGAAGAGACCGAGAGGCAGCUAAAGAUGGCAAAGCUGGCGUAUACACAGAACAAUAUAACUGAGUUAAAGACUGGAGUGUUGAUGUUGUUCGAGCAAUUCAGCACAAUAAUGGGAGCCACAGAGAAAAGCAUCGAAUGCAAGGACAUGCUCAAGCGAUUUGACAAUGUGGACCAUAAAGUGUGGACCUCAAUCCGAGAUAAAUACGUCCACGAUGAGUUUUACGAAUAUCAUAGGGGGAAUUUCACAAGCGAGGAACUCAAAGAUCCAGCUAAAGUGCUGUUCGAUUUCACCAACGAGAUGCAUUUGGUAAAGGACGCAGUAGUGCAGAAAAUCGAGGACUGUAUGAACAAGGAAUACCAAUUGAAUCAAGAAAUCAAAGGCCUUCAAGAUGAUCUGUGGAAAGUCAAGAAUGACAAUACGAACAUGCAAGUACAGAAGAACGCCGAUAGGGCAGAGAUGAACGUAUCCAAGGCAACGACGGGUCACUACGAGAAACUGAUCAAUGAAAAGAAUGAACAAAUUGCUCAGUUAAAAAGAGAAAAUACAGUGCAAUUAUGGGCUAAAGAAAAAGAAAAGAUUUUACAUGAUGCAAAUAUGAAAGCAACUAAACUCGAAAGUGAAAUCUUACAACUAAAAACAGAAAACCUCGAUAUGAAAGUAAGAAUGCAGAAAAAAAUAAAUGAAUUAGAAGAUUCAAACCGGAUGAUGAAAAUGAAAUCAGAAAUGAGAAUCGGACCUUCUAAAACAGAGAAAAAAUCGGAAACGGAUCAAUUAAAGAAUAAGCUCCACUAUAUGGAGAGAGAUGUUAAUAAGAUGGAAAAUGAGCUUGCAAAUCAACAAAAAUACUACAUUGGCAUAUCUAAUGGUCUACGUGUAGAUCACAAAAAAAAUAUGGAAGCCUUGACAGCAAAUGAAUCCCGUUGUCCAGAUGUUCUAGUGAUGAGCGAAUUAAAGAACUAUCAAGCGAAUUUAGAAAAACUUUAUAUUGCUGUACAGGAGGGACGGUUGAAUGAAUUCAGAGCUGACUUACCCGAGCAUUACAUAGCUACAAAUGUGGAUGUGAAAAAAUCCCCGGUAAAGAUGUUCUCAAAAUUAUAUAUUGAAAAUACGGAACAGACUAAGUUUCAACCUAUAAAAGGUGACAUCUCAACAAAGAAGAAUCUCAGAGAAGAAGAUGAAUCAGACAGUGAUGAUGAUGAUGACGUUGGUCUUAAAAAGAGACUGAAUCUCCCAGAUAACCCAACUAUGAUCAACAAAAACGGAAGCAUCAACAUGAUAAAUGCGAUGAAGUACUUUCCACACAUGUCAGCAUCUUUUAUUAAAGAGCAAUACCAACAGUUUAAACUCUAUGACGAAGAUGGCAAUGGAAAAUUAGAUCUCACCGAGCUCAUGGCUGCCAUGACAACAACAAUAGGUCAACAGUUCACACCUGCUCAAAUUAAGGAGGCCAUGUAUGAGGUUGACAAAGACAUGUCCAACUCGAUAGACUUUUACGAAUAUGUUAUGAUAUCAAAUACUAUUUUGAAGAAAAGUGGAAGAUCGGAUGUAUUUAGGAGUGCCUUGGCCAAAGAACAGGGAAAGGCUGUAUCCAAAACGUGUGUGAUACAGUAGAAACAAGAGGCCGAAACAAGAUCUCUGAGUUGAGAUGAAGUCAAUUUUGAUAGAGAAUUACUUUGAAUAAAUUAGGGUGUUCAAAGCAGGCGAGUCGCCUGAAUAAUGUUGCAUGGAAUAAUGGAAUAGAACCUCGAUUCUGUUUUUUUGGAACUGAGGUAAUGAUUAAGAGGAACGGCGGAGUGGGGGGGGGGGUAUUCGUAUGGCGCCGUUAGAGGUGAAAUUCUAGGAUUGGCGCCAGACUGCGUACGAAUUUGCCAUUAUGAUGUAGCACUAGGCUACAAC
rnacentral:misc_RNA from 1 species